GGAGGAAAAGAACUAACAAGGAUUCCCCUAGUAACUGCGAGUGAAGCGGGAAAAGCUCAAAUUUAAAAUCUGGCAGUCUCUGGCUGUCCGAGUUGUAAUCUAGAGAAGUGCUGCCCGCGCUGGACCGUGUACAAGUCUCCUGGGAUGGAGCGUCAUAGAGGGUGAGAAUCCCGUCUCUGACACGGACUACCAGGGCUUUGUGGUACGCUCUCAAAGAGUCGAGUUGUUUGGGAAUGCAGCUCAAAAUGGGUGGUAAAUUCCAUCUAAAGCUAAAUAUUGGCGAGAGACCGAUAGCGAACAAGUACCGUGAGGGAAAGAUGAAAAGAACUUUGGAAAGAGAGUUAAACAGUACGUGAAAUUGCUGAAAGGGAAACGCUUGAAGUCAGUCGCGUUGGCCGGGGAUCAGCCUUGCUCUUUUGCUUGGUGUACUUCCUGGUUGACGGGUCAGCAUCAAUUUUGACCACUGGAAAAAGGCUUGAGGAAUGUGGCAGCUCCGGCUGUGUUAUAGCUUCUUGUCACAUACAGUGGUUGGGAUUGAGGAAUUCAGCACGCCGCAAGGCCGGGUUUCGACCACGUUCGUGCUUAGGAUGCUGGCAUAAUGGCUUUA
rnacentral:rRNA from 3 species